CUUUUUGACUGUUUUUGACAGUCAAAAUGGUCAAAAGAGGUCCAAUCCGGAGUCCACUGCGCAUGCGCCAGAGACUUCGCGGCCUCGUUGGCAAAUGUCUGGUGAUGUCAUCGAUUAUUGAACUUUCAAUUCUAACCUCAUUUUUGUGUACACUUGAUCAGUGUGUUGUGAAUUCUCAAAGAAGUCAAAAUUAACACCGCAAUCUGCCGAUUUCAAUCCUCCUUCGUCCUGUGUAAAAUUAUUACCCACAAUCAUUUUUCCUGUCGGCCGCCAUGAUCGAAGCAGAUGGAUGACAGUGGAAUUGACAGUGACCAAAAAUAUCAACUCCUUUUUGAGAAUCAAGUGUUAUUGGCAAAUGACAGCUCAGGAGCUAACAUUUCUACUUUCAAUUCUGCGUUGAAGUCUAGUAAAACUCUGCCAUUUUGUAAAUCGGAUAAGUUUUGUGACGAAGUAUUUGAAGUGAAGAAAACAGCUUCGCUUAUUCCAAUUGAUCUACUGCCCAUUCCAGCAUCAAAAACUCACGUUUUAGAGCAAAUCGAGAAUAAGCCAUUGGUUGACUGGGAGUCUGAUGAUCGGUGAGUUCAGUUUAUUCUUAGUAGAGCAAAACUGUAUGGUUGCUCACCUUCUAUUGCCAAAUUCAAAAUUCAAAACAUGAAAUGAAAAAUGUUUUUUUGACCUGCAUCAAAUCUACUGCCUACCUCUAAAAUCGGUUAAAAGUGAUUAAGUAUGAGCUGAAAACAAUUAAAUAGUUGCUCUACUAUAAUGUAACGAGAAAAUCAUGGGAACGGUAGGAGCAAAGCUUAGCUCAAAUGUAAGUAAAAUUUGAGCUAUGUUUAUGUGGCAACCUAAGUUAUCAUCAAUUGGACUACACUUUGAAAUUUGAAACUUCAAUUUUCAGCUCACUUUAGAAACAACAUAUGUGCCAU
rnacentral:lncRNA from 1 species